rnacentral:lncRNA from 1 species
AUAAAAUAGGUAUUAAUACAAAAAAAAUUCUCUACUUGUAAAAGACUCGAUAGAUUAGAUAUAAUAGUUAAAAAUUUGGAUGAGAUUUAAUAUAAUACCAUAGAUAACAAGUUGGUCCUUGCAUUAUUAGAGAACAUGAUGUUUGGGGAGUCUCAAAUUGCGCCAUACAAUUUGAUAAUAGCAUAUAUCUUGGUCUUAUCAUGUUCCUUUCUUUCUUUUCUUUGAAUCGAAUUUUUGAUUUAUUCCAAAAACCUAUCUUGAAAACGUACACAAAUGUCUAUUAUGAAAGAGUUACUCACUUCAUUCUUGGUUUUAUUCCCAGUUAUUUUAUUUUACUUUAUUACUUUUUAAGUGUUAACUAGGUUUAAGUUAGUUUGAAUAUUAGUACGGCCGAAGCUAGUUUUCCGGUUGUCAAAGCAAAUACAUUAAACCUGAUCAUGAUUUAGCUUUCUCUUUUUUAGAUCUGGCAAUAUCAUAAUUUGCUUAUUCCUUGAAUACAAUGGUAAAAGAGUAUGUAUGAUAAGAAAGUGGGGUGAAAAACUAUCUCAUUUAUUCCUAUAAAAGAUAACACGUUAGCAAAUAGUGGUUGUAGCUAGUAACUUCUUACACUGUUGAGCUUAGAUGUACAAGCAUAAUUGAGGAAUAGUCUUAAUAAAAGGAGGUCUGUAUUCAUUGAUUUUAACAUAAAGAAGGAAGAAGAUUUAUUAUUUGUUGAGAGGAGGAGAAUUGGUUGGAGACAACAAUAUAUUCUCCGUAGCAACUUGAAUGCGGAAGAGGGUUCCAUCAAUAAUUGCAAUCCCCUGCUUAACCCUUGCUGCAGUGGUGACGUUUUUAUUCACGAACAGGGAUGCUUUGUUUUGAGCCUAUCUUAACCAGUGACACAGAAAAAAAAAAAAAAAAAAAAAAAAAAAAAAAAGAAAAAAAAAAAGAAGCCUGUUUGGACUUUGGAAUGUUUUGAUUCCUAAGUUUCUCAUCAAUAGAUGUCCAGUGAUAACUCACGCGCUGUAAGUUCAAAAUGAGAUUGCAAUAAUCAUGAUUUUUCUGAAUAACGCAUUUACCUACGAGGUGAUUGAGGUCGUAUCAGUCAUAACUCCGAAUGCAACAAUUAUUACGGCGCGAAAAAAGAAAUUGUACCGAAUAAAAUAUUCAGACUUCCUAAUAAGCAACAAUUUAGUCCCGAACCUUCUCACUCAGACGCUUUAGUUUGUAAACUUUCUGGCGUACUUUGAUACCAUCUAUGGAAGCUAAAAAGACACUGACAAAAUGCGACCUGUUUGCAGAAACUACCUUUCCAGUUCCUAUUUGAGAUGCAGUAAACAACAAUCUCAGGUCGAAAAUCCGCAUCAAACUGGACUGGGUAUUGCGAAUUACCGGAACCGUAUUGAGAGGGUUUUUGUUACUCUGUGAUUGGGUUUUAGACCUGUGAACAAUAAUACACAGGCCUAAAGCCUUAUAUUCGGAAAAUCGGCGUAGGUGGGCCGAAAAAGUUGAGUUUCUUAGCAAUGAUUGACACCACAUUUGGAUGGAGAGAAAAGAAGAGGAGAAAAGAGAGUUAGGAUAAAACAUCACUUUCAAUCAUUUGAAUUAAAACCAGAGAGGAGAAGCAAUGAAAACCAGAGAAAACAAUCAAUUUCUUUUGGCUCGAAAAAGUAGAGGGAACAGAAGAGAUAAAAUUAGCGUUAUUCGCAAUUAUUUUGGUCUAUAAGUAGCAAGCCUCAUACCGCAAAACAAGUUUUGUGAUUCCACUUCAUGAGUCAUUUUGGACUUGAAUUCAUCAGAAGUUUUCAAAGUACUCAUGCUUAUUGAUUCAGUUUUUAACUGAACCAGGUUAACCCUACCUUGCAAAAUCUGAAUAAAUAAGCUUAACAUAGAAGUUAAUACUGCCUUCCUUACCCCUUUUUCAGGGCAAUUCUCAAAAAAGGAAUGAUUUGUUACCUAUAACAGUGAGAUCGGCAGGAAGAAAUUCAUAUCAAUCGUCAUAUGGUGAAGAAGAUUAAAUUAACCAUGGCCCGAAAUGCAGCUUCCGAUUCAAUAAUAUAUCGAAAGAGUGCGAUGAUGUGGCAGAGACGCAUUUUGAACGCCACAUGACCAGAGCCAAAGAUCGAUUUCUAUACUAAGCACCUGUAAAACAAGUAGAUAGCAGCAUUAAUUAAAUGACCUUUAGAUGAAUCGCAAUAGACAUCAGAGCUUUUGUCAUUUCGUUACUGCUGCAAUAAAUACAUAAUGAACUAAAUUAGCUUGACCUAUGUGUCCCGAUCCUGUCAGAGUGGCUUUCAAUAAACCUUUUUUUUUAUUGUCAUUUUUUAUCUUACUGCAGGAAAUAAGACCUAGAGAAGAAGAUCACAAAAAUAAUUUACUUAAAGCUAUAUUAGGUUAAUAAGUAGGAUAGCAGUUUCUCUUGAGCAUCAAACUCAUACAAAUGAAAAAAAUUAGAAGUAAAGGAAAAAAAAAACAUAUUGAAGUAUAAUUAAUGAACUAAUUUGAUGUAAGAAUUGAGGGUAAAUAUCUUAGUUGUUAAAAAGAAAACAUCCUCAAGAGUCUUAUGUCGAUCUCUCAAUAAUGCUAUUUUUUUCAGCAGUAUACUUUGUAAAUUACAAGACAAUAAAAAGGCAUCUAUUAGCCUACACAUGAUGGGGAACGACCAUAAAUCUUUAGUAAGGAUUUCCUGUAUGAUCAACAUUAAAUUGAUAUUAACAGUCAACUUUAUAGACUAUGAUGAUAGACGGAUGCUGUUCAUCUUAUUACUUCUUGCAGCAUUAGUUUCUAGCAUAAUUUCAAUAAAAAUGUUUACGGAAAACUAUUUAUAGAUGAAGAGCAACAGGUGCAGGAGAGGGCGCCAGUUUUAUUCCUAUCACUCGAUCUUCUUUAGUGGGGCUCAGUGAAAACUAGUGAGAAGUUUUGAUAAACAAAUCAUUUAUUAGUCAACUAAAUUUCCUCUGUCACAUGGCAUGCAAAUAUUUCGACAGCGUCAAAAAAAAAAGUUCAAAUAUUACAGGCUUAUCUGAUUACCAACCAUCCUGUUCCUAACACCUAAUAUAAAAAAUGCUGCAAAUGAGUUUUCUCUCUUAUCUCUUGAAUAAAAAAUUUCUUUGCCUUGUAGUGUUGUAGUUUAUCUUCACAACACUUUUUUAUUCCUAAGCAAAGUUAAAGCGCAGUGCUUUAAACAAGUGAAUUGGCAAUUUCUUCUAUCAAAAUACUUUAACCAUAUCCGGAACAAACUACCUAAUGAAAUAAAUUUACCAAAAAAUAAGAGAAUGGAAAAAUAGGUCAGUGAUGAAAGUUUGACAAGAGAAAGGAAAAGGUGUAUACCUGUUUCCCAAAUUUUCUUUUGAUGAGUUCUCUCAUUUUCUCCACAGCAUAAAUAGAACAAGCACGCAACUCAGCUUCCUCCUCACUACCAGCAACUAUCUCUUUAUUCGAAUCGAUGGAACUAGAUAAGGCUGAACUGUACUUUAAUAUGCCAAGCUGUCUGAGUACUGCGGGGACAAUAUAGUCCGCAAAUAUUGUCACAGAUUUUAUGUCAUAGAAAUCUCCAUAUCCUCGACCCUUGAAAGCACCCCACAGGUCAGCAACAAAGAUCUGUGCCCUUUUGUACAGAAAAAUCUGAUGUCCCUUGUAAAGAGAAUGAUCUCGAAAACCUAUUUAAGGCAAUUAGAAGUUGAAACAAUACUUGAAGACACAACAAUUUUAAGAUAUGCAUACAAUAGCAAAAGGUAACUUAGAGUGAAAGUAGACAAAUAAAGCCUUAAGUGCAUGUCAAUCAAGUUAGAGGCUUAGAUAUGAUAAUGAAAAUUUAUGAAAAUAUAAAUAACUAAAUAAUAGAUUUAAAUGAAAGCUCGCUGUCAAGAAUUGGUACAAGGAAUAGGUAUAAGAUAAUAAUUAAGACAGCACACACAAAUUACAAACUGAAGUCUUCUGCAUAAACAGGAAAAGGAGUUUAUUUCAUGACAUCCCCCAAUCACAAUAUUCUUAUAAUGUGUUGAGAGUUGGGGUUUCUUCAGAAAAAAAAAUCCAUGCUAGUGCUAUAGGUUAAUACACAUGAAUAUGUUCAUCUUAAGCUCAUAGUUUACUGACAAGAAGCUAAUAAAUUGCCAAGGAAACCAGCUUCCUGGUCAUCGCAAUGCAUAUCUCAGAUAGAGCUAUUUUAUAACAGUAUCUUUUUUAAUCUGUUUAUCUGAAAAAGACAACUGUAGAUUGUGUUGUUAAACAUGCAAUAUCUUAAAAUAGUACAGUUAAUACUACAAAAAAUAAAAUAAAAUACUGUGCAACAGAUUAGGCUAGAAAAUAUUUGAUAGUGCAUGGAUCCAUGUAUCGUGUUCCAUUGAGUUCAUUAUGUCCUCAGGCUAUCAGGACAUGGUUAUUAUCAAUGCUCAUGUUCACUAAGAACCAGUUUGCUGCUUAAAUAUCUUUCAUGAUAUGAUAAACCACCUUGUAAGUGGAAUCCAUAUCCUGAAGAUGCUGAAUUGUUAAAGACUCCACAAUUGCUAAAUCAAACCCAUUAUAUUGUCUCUCUUGAAUGCUAGAAUACCUAAUCUGACAAUCUCUCUUGUUUAUUAACGGCUAUGUUUUAAUUAGUUACCUAGAGGCCAUAAGUUAAACAAUUAAAUAUCCUUGCUAAAAUAAGACACCAACCAAAAGAAGAUAAGAGACCUAUCGUCUUGUCUAAAUGAAUAGACAUUAACGACUCGCAUGCACACCAAAGCAAAAGAUAACUGCCAUUAAGAGAAAGCAUACCAGGAAAGUGACGUGCAAUAAGUGCAACUAGCGAUUCAGCAGAAUUUCCACAGGAUCUUACGAGAUUAACUGCCUGUCCUCCAAAGCUUCUCUCAAGUUCCAGACCAACCUUAAUUGAUCAAAGCAUAAAACUUGAUAAAAAAUGCAACUCUUUUUAGAAUCUCCACCAUUUGUAAGCACUACACACUAGUACUUAGCUUUUAUAGAUGAGUAGUAUAUUCGGCAAACAUAACGUGAACAGGUCUAAAGCAUAAUAUGUGAACCAAGAGAAAGAAAAGGAUGUAAGAUGAGACAAUCUGCCAAACAAUCUGUCAAGUGAGCAAACACUACCUCAUGCAGCAGGCGCACUCUUUCCUCCUCAAUCGGCAGACGGCGUGGCCAUUUCAGAAGCUCACGUAACUGGGGACCUGAAUUUCCCACAAAUUGAGUUCAAGUUGUAUCAAUUUUUUGAUGAUGAACUGAACCCAUUUGAUGAUUUGCUAAUGGAUAAUUUCAUAACGCAUGAACAAUCCCAGGUAUAAAGGGAAAAAACCAACAAUCUAAUUUACAAGAAUAAGAAUAGAAAGAAGCAAUGCUCAAAGGGGUUAUAAGUUACCAGUAUAAUUCUGAAGACGAUCUGCAUCAAGAGCAGAUUUGUCAUUCUCCAGAGCAUCCUUAAGUCCCAAAGCCAAAUGGUCAUAGCUUAGGUCUUUGUCUGUUCAAGAUAUGUAAAUGCAAGAAAUAAAAGCCAAUCAACUUCACAAUAAUGAAAAAUAAAACAUUUCGUCAUGCAAAAAGAUGCAAGAGAUGUAUUUCAAACAUAAUUCAACCGACUGUUGUCCAUUCUUCUGAAUGAAGGUAAUGCCAGUGAAGUUAAUGCCAGGACUUGAUAGAAUUUCUAGAUGAAGUUAGUCAUCGAUUAAAACAACUUAUAGUUUAGUGAUCAAAGUAUAAUUUAUUUUACAAUUUGUUGACUUCUAACAUAAUUGCCCCCCCNCCCCCCCCCCAAACAAAAGUAUCAAAACAAACUGGAAUUAAAAUUUGAACAUGAAGAAAGUAACGUAAUCGCUGUUCCAAAACACAUUAAAUGAAGAGCACCAUAAGGCUACUCUGUUUUGAGCUGCAUAAGUAAAAACAAGAACACGCUAUUACAAUUGAAUAUGCUCCUAAAGACAGGCAAAUUUCCCUCUUUUUUCCUUUGAGAAGAUAAAUGAUUGAGUAAUUUCAGUUCCAGCAACUUGAAAGCUACAAUACUUCCUUAAAAACUGUCAAAAAAUUACUAGCUUAAUAAGAAAUGUCUAGAAAAUUCAUACCUGGCCAAAAACAAAAGUUUAAUGCAUCCAAAACAAGUAGAUACUGAACAGUAAGAGGCCCAUUAUCAAAGUAGUGAAUCCCUUCAAAAUUCCAUUCCACUUUCGGAAUCGCACCCUGAAUACCAUCCACUACUUUCUCAAUUUCUGCGAAUUGAAGCAAAAAAAAGAGAAAAAAGCCCUCCUUUUAAGCAAACACACAUAACAAAGAAGUAAAAGCAGCAACUUUUUACAAUAUCUAACAAUGUAAAGAACCAUUAAAUUACACAGAUAAGGCAAAACAAACCCUGGGUCAUCAAACCAAUCCACUGUAUCGAAACCAACCGUAUCCCUUAUCGCAAGUCCCAAAUCACAAAACAGGCUAACAAUAACAGCAGAUAAAGCCAUAGAGCUAUGCGAUAUCACCAAACUGGGACGAGCGAGCGAGUAUUGCAUUCUAAAACCCUAGCCCCAGGAUUUGAAUCUGAAUCGAACUACCCUACAGGAGAAGGGAGGAGACGAGGGUUUGUAGAGGGGUUACCCAGCGAAUCCACCUUCACGUGAGCCGCGCGCGUCGCCACCCACGCCGUCGUCGUCCUCACCUCCUCCAUUGCGCUCUCCCUCUCUCUCCGUGUCUCUCUAGGGUUCUCUCUCUCUUCGUCCUCUCUCUAGGGUUCUCCCUAUCCUCGUCGUUGUGGCCAAUAGGAGAUGCGUUUUAUCACGUCCCGUGCCCCUCGGAGCUUUCCCGCUUAGGGAUUGAACACGAGGAGCGCAGCCCAUGGACCGAGGAAGUAUUCCCUGCACCGGGUUUAGUAGUCCAUUUUGUACACCGCCCCCCUAACUUUCCAUAGUGAGAGGCUUGAGAACCAAUAUUUAAUUCAGUUACUGUCCGUGCCUAGCGCAAUUGCGCAAAUGUCAAAUAACUUGGUAGCUUAUAUCCGAGGUCGCAAAUUCGAAUCCUAAUUGAUUUACUUUUUCAACUUAGUUUAUUUCUAAAUAAAAUAAACAAGCGGGUAACAUGAUACCUAUCUCUCAAAAAAUAUAUUUAAUUCAGUCAUGAGUCCUAAAAAUACUUACAAGCAUAAAACGUAUAGAACUUAACUAAAUUAUGAAGUAUUUUAAAUUUAUUAUUUAAUAUUUCAAAUUGUUUAAUUUUAGUCAUUAAACGACAUUUUUACUUUAUUUAAUCUAAUUUUUUAAUUUAAUGAUUUAUAAUUGCGAAAAAUGUAUGUGUUAUAUGUGCUAACUAAUCUAUGUAUUCAAAUUUUAAAGUCAAAAUUUUAUUGACUAACUCAAAUCAAACAAAUUGAUAGAUUUUUUAAAAGAUUAGAUAGCAGAUUCCAAAUGGUUUAUAGUUCAGAUAAAUUCCAUAUUUAUAUCAAAACUAUAUAUCAAAAAUUAUAAUUUUGACUAGUCCUUCAAAAUAUUAUUUUUAUAUAGUAUUGAUGUUUUAUAAUACAAUACAGAAAAAUUUAAUUGGUUGAUGCACGCGUACUAAAAAAAUUAUAUAAAAUGCUAAAAAAUCAACACUAUAUGAAACUAACUUUUGAGGAUCUAAAAAUUUUUAAAAAGUAAAUAAUAACUCUCUCUCCGUCGUUCUAGGUAAAAGAUUUUUCAAAAUCUAUCUUACAUUUUAUAUAUUUGUUUUAUGCUGCAAAUUAUAUUAGUCAGAUUAGAUUUUGAUUUUAAAAAAAUGAUUAUCAAAUUAUAAAGUAUGGUGCAUAGUGUAUAUUACUCCGGGUGUAGCUAAUAGUUUUCGCUUGUCGACUGAGCAGAAAUUACUGAAAUACCCCUCUUCUUUGUCUUAAGGACUCGGGGAUAUCCUUCGAGUCUUGUCGUGUAAUUGGCCGUUUGAUCUCGUCCGACGCUGCAAUAUGGACCGUCGGAUUAGUGGGGCCCGCGUGUACGAGGAGGUCGCUUUCGUUGAUUUUGCUGGAUUGUGCGGACCAUGUUUUCCACAUCUGGUUUGUAGGCAAAGAUUUCUCAUAUCUUUUUCCAGACACAUGGGGAUAGAUGCAGAAACUUUUUUUUUUUUUUUUUUGAUUGAGAGAUAGGUAACACGCUAUCCAUUUCGUUUAUUUCAUUUAGAAAAUUUAGCUGAAAAUGUGAAUCAAAUAAGAUUUGAACUUGAGUCUCGGAUACUAGCCACCAAACCUUUUUGUCACUUGCUUUAGAGACAGUCGGUAUGCAGAAAUAAUUAUUAAUAAUUAUAAAAAAAUACUUAUUUUAGGUAAAGAUCUGUUUGUCUCAUCAACAUAAAAUCGUAAAAAAAAACAAAAUCUUUUAUUUAAAACUUUUGGUGAAUUUUUUUUUGCACGUUUUAUAAUAUUUGGUUUGUAGAAAAAAAAAAAAAAAAAAAAAAAAAAACAUAAGUUUCCAUCAAUAUUUAUUUGGUUUCGGGGAAAAAAAUGAAUUAAAAAAAUUUUGUUUUUUUUUACGAUUUUACUUUUUAUUUUUCAUCGAAAAUUAACGGAAAACGAAAACUUCAGUUUUUUCUUAAAUCUGUAAAAAUACUUUUAUGUCGGACCAAACAAGCAGAAAAAUAAUUUUCAUACCAAAAAAUAAUUUUUUGUUUCAUUUUUUGCAGUACCAAACACCCCUUAAUUAAACUUGUGCAGAACUAGUGUAAACUAUAAAUUAUUUAAAUUAGUUAUCUAAUCUUUCAAAAUUUUAAUUUUGUUAUCUAAUUUUUAAAUUUCUUUGAUUUAAAUCAGUCAAUGAUAUUUCAUCUUCAAAAUUUGAAUACUGUGCUUAUUGUUCCAGAUGUAGUUCGUAAAUUCCAUGCAACGUUCGUAAUUCUAAAUUUAUUAAAAUAAUUAAUUAGCUUAAUUUUUGAAGUUACAAUACCGUGGGUUGAUUCAGAUUAAGACGGUAGGCUUGAAUAUCAAAUGUACAGAUUCGGGGGUAAAUCUUGCAGAUACAGAAACUGUGGUAACGGUUCGAGUAUAAUUUUUUAUCAUACAGCUAGACCAAACAGAUUACUAAAGAUCAGAGUAUGAAUAUAGAUAUGCUUUGAAUCUUUUUGUCAAGGUUUUUUUUUUUUUUUUUGAGAGAUAGGUAGCACGCUAUCCGCUUCGUUUAUUUCAUUAGAAAUAAACUUAGCUGAAAAUAUGAAUCAACUAGGAUUCAAACUUGGGAUCUCGGGUACCAACCACCAAGUCCUUUGCCACUUACUCCAGGGACGGUUGGUAUCUUUUUGUCAAGGUUAAUAGAAGAUUAGCCACCACCUUGGAAUAUUUGGAAGAGAGUUUGUGGAAAAAAAUGUUGUUUUCACAAUCUGCUACUACUCACUUGGACCAAACUCCUCCGGUGGUGGGUUGUUCAUGUAACGCUCCCAAUAGUUCCACAUCGGAUGGAACACUGAUUUCGAUUAGUUUAUAUGAGAUUUACACGCUAGCAAUAAUAAUUAGAUUUAAGUAUUUUGGACUGGUGAUUUGAGCCCAACGAAUUAUUGUUGCUAACCGGUCAGGUCGUUACAGUUCAACAUUAGAUUAGUCUCGAAGUGUUAUAUUUUCAUUUCCUACUUAAAUGACCUUCUUUGCAUUUUUAACUGACUAAUAUUUUAUUUUUAUUUUUUUUAUUUUAUUUUCUUCUUUAAGCUAGUAGAAGUUCGCACGCAAUGCACGCUUUACAUAAGUAUGGCUUAUUUAUUAGUUGACAAAUUAAUAAUUGAAGGAUGAAAUUGGAUAAAGGUAUUUUUAAGUAGUAUAGAUAUAUUUUGGGGAUGGAAGGGCCUUUUUUUUAAAAAAAAAUGACAGAUUUAAAACUCCUAUACGUUCUUUUAUAUUAGAUAAAGAACUGUUCAAUAAUUAUGAAAUUAAAUGCGAAAAAACUUGCGAAUUGUACUUAACACACUCGGUUAUAAAAUUUUAGGCUAUGUUCGAACUAGCAAAGAGGUUGCAUUACUUGUAGCGAAAACUACGAUAAGAUAGCACUACUCUAUUUAUUUCUUUUCGUAGAUAAUACUACGUUUUGCAUACUUCAACGAAUCAAUUAUGUUAUAUUUUCUAAAAGUUUCACUAAAAUGCACAAAAAUAUAUCUCAAUAGAAUUGAGCUCCCAUUCUUUUAAAAGUACCAAAUUAUUAGUAGUUGUAGAUUUUAGUCCAUGAAUUAAGGGAUAUACGGUUAUAUUGAUGAUAGUCUUUUAGGAUUGAAUGGGCGGUCACUCAGUUGAAUAGUAUGAUCUAACGGAUAAAUAUGAUCAAGUGGAUAGGUCUAACUGCGAAAAACUUACAAGCAUCAAAUAUUUUGUGCUUUUGAAAGCACUAUAAUUGAACUCUGUCUCUACAUACUUUUGCUUUAAUUUUAUUUUAUUUAUUAGUAUUAAAUAAGUCUCAAUGUAAAAAGAAUUCUUAAAUAAUAGAUACCCAAAGUCUCAAAUUUAAAGUCUAAUUAAUUACUAUCUUUUUCAC